UUUCAUGAACGCUUGUUCAUGAUUUUGGGAACUUUUUUUUCUCCGUGUAACUGUGAUCCACAAUCCAGGCUUUGCAGGACAAGAUUGGGGCAGUUUCGACCAGGGUCAUAUGAGCGGCUGACUAGCGAGGACAUACCCUUUGCCCCACUAUUAACCCGGUAGGACUGCCGCUGCCGAGGCUGCUGAUGAGGCGUCCGCUACUGCGGAGGAAUCCAGAUUCUGUGGUGAAGUCAUCUCCUUCGGAGCAACCUUGUAGCAACCUGCUUAUCCGUCAUGGAUUGCUGCUCAGAUUGCUGCUGCUGAUCGUCCUUUUGGCGAUGUUGCGUCGAUCGUGAGCGCCACUCAAUCUUCAUCCACAGUUUUUCUGUUUCGAUGUAAGAGUUUGCGGCAGCGUUUUUUGGAAUCUUCGCGACUCUUUUCAUCUCAUUCGCCACUUUUUGCUGUUUAACGCAACUUAACUGCGCCGUGAACACGUUUCCCGCGGAUGUUUCGAAACGCCCAUCGUUGGGAUCAAUUCCGGUAGAUUUGAAUUGAUUUUUUUUUUCUAUUUCGGCGGCCACUACUGGUGUUUUCGUGACUUGUACCUUGUAUCUUGUUGAUCAGGUGUUCGAGGUUUCGGGAGAGAAGGAAUGUUGGACAGUUUUUGGGAGCAACGGGGAGGGCCAGUGGUUUGGUAUCUGUCGUUGCGGUUGUGGUGCGUCGUUGCUGAUGCUGCCGCAUGGUUUGGCCGUCAUCUUCGGCCGUCGGUGUUAAUUUUAAUUUUUAUUUCAUCGAGUACUGACGAUAAGCAACAACAACAUUAUUUAUAUCAGCUGUUGAUGUUUACAAUCGUUAAGCCUUGAUUGUCUCACGCAUACACUGACAUGACACAUGACAGUAAUGGCAUUGUAUUGGUAUGUUUGGGGUGCACUUCGGCAUAAGCUCACCAGGCAGCGCUAGCGUCGCCGUAAUUUGGUGGUUUGAUGAAGGACGAUGAAUUUCAAAAAUUAUGUGUAUAGAGAGUCACGUCUGUUUGUCUGUGGUAACACCGUCGCCAAGCGUGGCAGACUUGCAGCCAGCCCGGGAGCAUGUUGACAGUUCCCAUACAAACUGAGCGUACCUCUUUUUGUGGGCCCAGUGGACCUAAGAUGGCGGCCUUCGAUAUCAUCUAGCCAAACUUUUGAAAAUGGUGAAUAGUUUAAAUAAAUAUAGUUUUUGCCUUGUUUCGGUUUAAAACGACAAAAUAUGCAGUCUGGAAUCAUUUUCUUAAAACACUUGUUAGAGAUACACCACGUUCAAAUAUUAGACUAGAACAGUUGAAGUGAGCGCACAACUCACGAAAACUGUCAUCUUAGGGUCCGGCUGCUUGCAGCAGCCGGAGGUGUUGAUCAGGCCGCAGCAAAUUUAAGUUGUGGAGGAACCGCCACUUAAAGUGGCCGGAGUAGAGAUACUGAUCGUGAACGGAAUCAAACUGACCGGUCCCAGAUCCCGAACCAUGGUGGAGGUGGUAAUGGAAUAAGCAUAAGCUCCGAGAUGCUGCUGCCGACGUUUAUCAAGAAUCGCAUGGGAGGAGGUGGAGGAGGAGGAGAGGUUGUGGCAACAUGGACCAAAUGUGAUAACAAUGCAUGCCGAGUUGACCGUCCCAGCAGGUCAACAGUGUCGAUUCUCUGGAUUGCACCACCGAAUCCGUCCAACUUUCCUAUCUCGAACCGUGAUACGUCAAUCCGGAGCUUUUUAUGAAGAUUCUGAUUCAAAGACUUGCAACUGCCGGUCUCCAGUAGUAAUCACCGGCGAUUGUCCCGGUUGUUCAAACUUCAACCAGAACUUGCCGUAGACGCUGGCCGUUGGAUAAAAACAACCUCAUUAAGUGGCAGGACACGAUUAGAACCAAGGCCGAGGGAACUCUGCAAGCACAACAGUGAGAAUUCGCAGCAGCCGGAAAAUGCCCCCUGCAAUGGCCAGAACCCGAAUCUACUCGCUGACGUAAGAGAAACCCGUCAUGCCCGAGCUGGAGCUUAAAGCAGGAGGCAAACCAACCGUCGCCGAGCGCUGUACAAUCCCGGCGUCUACAAUGAAUUGGCCAAAGAGACGCCUGAACCGACGGAGUUUCAAUCCGCCGGCCAACUCAAUGGCAACCGACCAAAUUGAACUGGGAGCGUCAGACAAAUCGCGAGUGCAAAGGAGAGUUAAUUUGUGUCAUUAAAAAGUGCCAAUCCAUUGUAAAAUAAUCGAAAUAAAUAAACAUGAUUGAAGAAUGUCUCAAAA